AAUAGAUACCCUGGUAGUCCACGCCCUAAACGAUGCUCACUAGGUGUUGGGGAAGCGAUUCCUUGGUACCGUAGCUAACGCGUGAAGUGAGCCGCCUGGGGAGUACGGCCGCAAGGUUAAAACUCAAAGGAAUUGACGGGGACCCGCACAAGCGGUGGAUGAUGUGGAUUAAUUCGAUGCAACGCGAACAACCUUACCUACCCUUGACAUGUCCGGAAGCCUGCUGAAAGGCGGGGGUGCUCGAAAGAGAACCGGAACACAGGUGCUGCAUGGCUGUCGUCAGCUCGUGUCGUGAGAUGUUGGGUUAAGUCCCGCAACGAGCGCAACCCUUGUCCCUAGUUGCUACGCAAGGGCACUCUAGGGAGACUGCCGGUGACAAACCGGAGGAAGGUGGGGAUGACGUCAAGUCCUCAUGGCCCUUAUGGGUAGGGCUUCACACGUCAUACAAUGGACGGUACAGAGGGUUGCCAACCCGCGAGGGGGAGCCAAUCCCAGAAAGCCGUUCGUAGUCCGGAUCGCAGUCUGCAACUCGACUGCGUGAA
rnacentral:rRNA from 1 species